rnacentral:lncRNA from 10 species
AAAGAAACCACUCUAUCUGCUGGACUUGGAGUUGAAGACUGAGGAGCAGCGGCAGCCAUCUUGCCAUGCUGUGGCACUGAGCAUGAAGCCAUCAGGCCGGAAGUGGAGCCGAAAGUUGAGACUAGAGACCAGGCGCAGUGGCUCACGUCUGUAAUCCCAGCACUCUGGGAGACUGAGGCGGGCAGAUCACGAGACGGAAGUUUCACUCUUUUUGCUCAAGGUGGAGUGCAAUGGCGCGAUCUCGGCUCACUGCAACCUCCGCCUCCCGGAUUCAAGCGAUUCUCCUGCUUCAGCCUCCUGAGUAGCUGAGAUUACAGACAUGAGACACCGCGCCCGGCCUAAAAUGUCAUUUUCUUCGGUGCCACGGGGAAGUGAAAUAGUCCUGAACAAAAUUAUAUAUCCUAUCUGAGGUUGGGAUGAGGCACAGAGGUGGGAAGAAAAAGUCCACAGUCAAGUACAUGGGCUGGACAUAAAUGAGAGCAAGACUGAAAUGCUGAGGGGGCUGCAGGGAGAGGCACAAGUUACUUGCAUAUAGCGGUGAUAAGCCUAAGUGAGGCAAACUGAAGUCCUCAGGGUUUUCUAUGUUUUUGUUUUCCAUGUGGCUAAAAAUUCUGUGAUUUUUGUAUACUACUGCAGAAAUACAGAAUCAGGUCUUUUAUUUCAUAACUUACUGACACUGGCUUAAUUUCUUUGCACAGUUCUACCCUAUUUCCAAAAAGCUAAAGAGAGGAAUGUGCUAGACCACCCUCCCUGCCUCACUAUGCCAUAGUCUCUUUUGGGCACACAUUAUAUUCCUAUCCAUGACAAGCAGCCAGGGCAGAAGAGCUCUCUACAUAUGUGCCACCUUGUCUCCAAAACCUGCUGUCCCCUUUGGACAGACUGGCCCAUCCCUGACCACUGUUCUCCCCUGUCUUCAAUUCCUGAUGGCAACAAGAGAGAUUCUCUGACUGUUUCCAAGGAUGUCAUUCUCAGCCUCACCUCCAAGUUUGAUUUUAUAGAACAACCAAUAAAUGUGGUUUCACCUUCCUUGAGUUCACAACCAUUCUCCAAAGUGUAUUCAGAAGAACACGAGUCCUGGGAGAUGUUUCUCACAAACAGAGCUUGAAGGCCAGUUUGGAAAAUAUUGCAUGCCGUAACUCCCUUUAGAGAUUCACAGUGCACGCUUUCAUUUCCAAGGCUUGGAGAGCCUUUUCUCACAUUUUAUGGGCAAGAAAUGAUUUUUAACGUUGUGUUAACAUUCUUCAGAGCAGGUAUUCCAUGGAGUAUGCUUUGAGAGAUACCAAUUUAAGAGCAUAGUUUAUGAUCAGUAAAUUAUAAGCAAAUAUUUUAUUAAUUCUACUAUUACAAGAACGUCACUUUAAAUAAUUUGAAACAGACUAGGAAUGUUCUUUUACCUUCUGCUUUGAUGAAAGUAGAUGCCUGUUAUGUCCAAGUGAAUGUGAAUCCAUCAUUUUCCCUCCGUUUCUUAAAUCCUGCAGCUCUAGUGCUCAUGCCAUCACCAUGCAGGAGUCCAAGUGAGAUGAGG